GCUACCAUGCAAGUCGACGAAGGCUUCGGCCUUAGUGGCGCACGGGUGCGUAACGCGUGGGAAUCUGCCCAAAGGUUCGGAAUAACUCAGGGAAACUCGAGCUAAUACCGGAUGAUGUCGCAAGACCAAAGAUUUAUCGCCUUUGGAUGAGCCCGCGUAGGACUAGCUUGUUGGUGGGGUAAUGGCCCACCAAUGCGACGAUCCUUAGCUGGUCUGAGAGGAUGAUCAGCCACACUGGGACUGAGACACGGCCCAGACUCCUACGGGAGGCAGCAGUGGGGAAUAUUGGACAAUGGGCGAAAGCCUGAUCCAGCAAUGCCGCGUGAGUGAUGAAGGCCUUAGGGUUGUAAAGCUCUUUUACCCGGGAUGAUAAUGACAGUACCGGGAGAAUAAGCUCCGGCUAACUCCGUGCCAGCAGCCGCGGUAAUACGGAGGGAGCUAGCGUUGUUCGGAAUUACUGGGCGUAAAGCGCACGUANGCGGCUACUCAAGUCGGGGGUGAAAGCCCGGGGCUCAACCCCGGAACUGCCCUCGAACUAGGUAGCUAGAAUCUUGGAGAGGCGAGUGGAAUUCCGAGUGUANAGGUGAANUUC
rnacentral:rRNA from 1 species